rnacentral:tRNA from 1 species
GGGCUGGUAGAUCAACUGGUAGAUCGCUGCCCUUGCAAGGCAGAGGCUGUGGGUUCGAAAGCGACCCGAAGGUUCCU